ACUCUGAAUGCCUCCUGUUUCUCCCCAAGAGCCUUCAUUGCUGCGAUCACCAUAUUUCCAUUUAAAAGGACACAACUGGGGAAGAAACGCUGCGGCUUCCACGGGCUGUGGCCUGUUCUGCCCUCUAGUCAAGCAGAACGGAUCCUAGAGACCUUGGGCGGCGGGGAGGGGACCGCGUGUUCUGUAAUUACCCGGGUCGGAGGUGGCGCCGGCCCUCCGGCGGUCCCUCGCUGCCAGCGGCGGCAGAAACGCUACGGGGGCCGCCGCGGGGCUCCGGGGGAGAGACCGGACCCCCGGCCGCGCGGGGCCCGGCGCGCUGUCACCCGCGGGGCUGGCCGGGCGGCCGGGCCGGGGCGGCGCGGAGGAGGCGCGGCGGCCGGCGGCUUUGACGUCGCCGGCUGCGGGAGCCGCUCGCGCUCUCGGCACGUAGCGCACAACGUGACCGCCCAGCCUUCCUCCGGGCCGCCGGCCGCCGCUGCCGGCUGCGCCCUCCUCCUCCUGCUCCUGCUCCUGCUCCUCGCCGCUGCCGCGCACGCCCCGCACCCCGGCCGGCGUCGAGCCUCGCGGCCGCUGCCCACCGGGGCCCGAGCGGCCGCCGCGCCCGCGUUCGCCUCCGGAGGCCGGCGCCACGUUCGCCCGGGCGGGGAAGCCCUUCUGCGGCGCCCUCCCCCGAACCCCCGCCGGCCGAGCGCCCCCACCCUCCACCUGGCGGGGGCGGCGCGGAGCCGGAGGACGCGCGCGGUACGGGGCGCGCGGGGACGCGUGCGGACCCCGGCUCUGCCGGGCCGGCUCCCCGUCUGGCACGCGGCGCUGCUGGCCUCAGCUGCGGCCCCGGGAUCGCCGCGGCGGCCGGACCCCUCGCGCUGGCAGCGCGCUGAGGCUCCUUUGGAGAACGGCGGCGGCGGCGGCUGGAGCCCGGGAGCUGCCGACGCGCACUCCGCUCCCUGGCGGUCCUCUGCUCCUCCUUCCCUCCUCCCUUGCCUCUCCCCACCCCCGUCCCCCGGGCCGCUCCUCUUCCUCCUCCUCCUCUGCCUCCUCUCCCCGCUCGGCGCUGCGAGCCUGUGUCGUGUAACGGGAUUGGCGUUGCAAUGGCAACUGAUGGAAUGGGGGACGGCAAGACCGCCGGGCCGGGGGCUCCGGACUGCGGGCGCGCGGGCCGCCGCCGCCGCCUGA
rnacentral:lncRNA from 1 species